GACGAACGCUGGCGGCGUGCUCAACACAUGCAAGUCGAACGGAAAGGCCCUGCUUUUGUGGGGUGCUCGAGUGGCGAACGGGUGAGUAACACGUGAGUAACCUGCCCUUGACUGUGGGAUAACUUCAGGAAACUGGGGCUAAUACCGGAUAGGAGCUCCUGCUGCAUGGUGGGGGUUGGAAAGUUUCGGCGGUUGGGGAUGGACUCGCGGCUUAUCAGCUUGUUGGUGGGGUAGUGGCUUACCAAGGCUUUGACGGGUAGCCGGCCUGAGAGGGUGACCGGCCACAUUGGGACUGAGAUACGGCCCAGACUCCUACGGGAGGCAGCAGUGGGGAAUAUUGCACAAUGGGCGGAAGCCUGAUGCAGCAACGCCGCGUGCGGGAUGACGGCCUUCGGGUUGUAAACCGCUUUCGCCUGUGACGAAGCGUGAGUGACGGUAAUGGGUAAAGAAGCACCGGCUAACUACGUG
rnacentral:rRNA from 1 species